AAAAGCUUAAACUGUAAGCUUAUAUAUAUCAGUUGAAUCGGCAACUGUAAGCCAAAUUACAGCUCUUAUGAUCAUCCAAUGCAAUUGUUCAUUAGUUGCAGGUUUUGGAAGAUGAAGAAGUUGUACUUCCCAUCUCAUAAGAACAAGCGGAGGAAACUACUAAGAUGAACACUGACAAAGCUUAGGGUGAGGCAGCUGACGUCAGAGAAUCCCACUCAAGGGAGUGCCUAAAAUUCUCUGUAUUUAGUUCUUCCUUUCGAUGACGAUUUCUAGCAAGUAUCUUUUUAAUGUUCCUAGUAUAGUGGUUUUCUUCUUUAUACUUUAUAGAUGUUAACUAAAUGUAAUGCCAUUUUGCUACCUCUUUCUGAACUGUUGUUGUUACAAGCGAAUGAAAUGGAUCCUUCCUUCA